CAGUCGCCGCGGUAAUACGUAGGUCCCGAGCGUUGUCCGGAUUUAUUGGGCGUAAAGCGAGCGCAGGCGGUUAGAUAAGUCUGAAGUUAAAGGCUGUGGCUUAACCAUAGUACGCUUUGGAAACUGUUUGACUUGAGUGCAAGAGGGGAGAGUGGAAUUCCAUGUGUAGCGGUGAAAUGCGUAGAUAUAUGGAGGAACACCGGUGGCGAAAGCGGCUCUCUGGCUUGUAACUGACGCUGAGGCUCGAAAGCGUGGGGAGCAAACAGGAUUAGAUACCCGCGUAGUCCCUGUCUCUUAUACC
rnacentral:rRNA from 1 species